UCGGGAAUUUUGGGCAAUGGGCGAAAGCCUGACCCAGCAACGCCGCGUGAGGGAUGAAGUAUUUCGGUAUGUAAACCUCGAAAGAAUGGGAAGAAUAAAUGACGGUACCAUUUAUAAGCUCCGGCUAACUACGUGCCAGCAGCCGCGGUAAUACGUAGGGAGCAAGCGUUGUUCGGAUUUACUGGGCGUAAAGGGCGCGUAGGCGGCGCGGUAAGUCACUUGUGAAAUCUCUGAGCUUAACUCAGAACGGCCAAGUGAUACUGCUGUGCUAGAGUGCGGAAGAGGCAACCGGAAUUCUUGGUGUAGCGGUGAAAUGCGUAGAUAUCAAGAGGAACACCUGAGGCGAAGGCGGGUUGCUGGGCCGACACUGACGCUGAUGCGCGAAAGCCAGGAGAGCAAACG
rnacentral:rRNA from 1 species